GAUGAAGAACGCAGCGAAAUGCGAUAAGUAAUGUGAAUUGCAGAAUUCAGUGAAUCAUCGAAUCUUUGAACGCACCUUGCGCCCUUUGGCCAUUCCGAAGGGCAUGCCUGUUUGAGUAUCAUGAACACCUCAACUCUUCAAGGUUUUCCGUGAUGAGCUUGGACUUUGGGGGUCUUGCUGGCCUAUGGUCAGCUCCUCUAAAAUAAAUCAGCUUGCCAGUGUUUGGUGGGUAUCACAGGUGUGAUAACUAUCUACGCUUGUGGUUUUCCACCAGGUAACCUUCAGCAGUGGAGGUUCGCUGGAGCUCACAGAUGUGUCUCUCCUCAGUGAGGACAGCUCUUUGAAUGUUUGAUCUCAAAUCAGGUAGGACUACCCGCUGAACUUAAGCAUAUCAAUAAGCGGAGGA
rnacentral:misc_RNA from 1 species